GGACUACAGGGGUUUCUAAUCCUGUUUGCUCCCCACGCUUUCGCAGUUGAGUGUCAGUCACUGUCCAGGUCGCCGCCUUCGCCUCAGGUGUUCCUCCCGAUCUCUACGCAUUUCACCGCUACACCGGGAAUUCCACGACCCUCUCCAGCACUCGAGUCUCACCGUUUCCGGGGCACUUCUUGAGUUAAGCUCAAGGCUUUCACCCCAGACAAAUGAGACCACCUACCUGCCCUUUACGCCCAAUAAUUCCGAGCAACGCUUGCACCCUCUGUAUUACCGCGGCUGCUGGCAC
rnacentral:rRNA from 1 species